rnacentral:rRNA from 1 species
UUGGAGGGCAAGUCUGGUGCCAGCAGCCGCGGUAAUUCCAGCUCCAAUAGCGUAUAUUAAAGUUGUUGCAGUUAAAAAGCUCGUAGUUGAAUUUCGGGGUUCUUCCGUUGGUCAGGCUAACAAGUCUGUACUAGCGUGUAGAAUCUCUACCUUCUGGGGAACCAUCAUGUUAUUAAUUUAGCGUGGUGGGAAACCAGGACCUUUACCUUGAAAAAAUUAGAGUGUUCAAAGCAGGCUUACGUCUGAAUACAUUAGCAUGGAAUAAUAAAAUAGGACGGUGGUCCUGUUUUGUUGGUUUCUGAAUCACCGUAAUGAUUAAUAGGGAUAGUUGGGGGCAUUAGUAUUCAAUUGUCAGAGGUGAAAUUCUUGGAUUCAUUGAAGACUAACUUCUGCGAAAGCAUUUGCCAAGGAUGUUUUCAUUAAUCAAGAACGAAAGUUAGGGGAUCGAAGACGAUCAGAUACCGUCGUAGUCUUAACCAUAAACUAUGCCGACUAGGGAUCGGACGAUGUUAAAUUUUAUUGACUCGUUCGGCGCCUUACGGGAAAC